rnacentral:rRNA from 1 species
UACAGAGGUCCCGAGCGUUGUUCGGAUUCACUGGGCGUAAAGGGUGCGUAGGUGGUGAGGUAAGUCGGAUGUGAAAUCUCCGAGCUCAACUCGGAAAUUGCAUUGGAAACUACCUUGCUCGAGGGUUGGAGGGGGGACUGGAAUACUUGGUGUAGCAGUGAAAUGCGUAGAUAUCAAGUGGAACACCAGUGGCGAAGGCGAGUCCCUGGACAACUCCUGACACUGAGGCACGAAAGCUAGGGGAGCAAACAGG